AGUAGCGGCGAGCGAACAGGGAAGAGUCCAGCACCGAACCCCGCAGGCUGCCGCCUGUCGUGGCAUGUGGUGUUUGGGAGGGUCCACUACCCCGACGCCUCGCGCCGAGUCCAAGUCCAACUUGAAUGAGGCCACGGCCCGUAGAGGGUGCCAGGCCCGUAGCGGCCGGUGCGAGCGUCGGCGGGACCUCUCCUUCGAGUCGGGUUGCUUGAGAGUGCAGCUCCAAGUGGGUGGUAAACUCCAUCUGAGACUAAAUAUGACCACGAGACCGAUAGCGAACAAGUACCGUGAGGGAAAGUUGAAAAGAACUUUGAAGAGAGAGUUCAAAAGUACGUGAAACCGUUCUGGGGUAAACGUGAGAAGUCCGAAAGGUCGAACGGGCGAGAUUCACGCCCAUCCGGCCACUGGCCCCCGCCCUCGGCAGAUGGGGCCGGCCGCCCGCGCGGAGCAAUCCGCGGCGGGGUCGUGUCCGGUUGCCUUUCCACUCGCCGCGGGGUGGGGCCGUUCCAGUGUGCGGUGGGCCGCACUUCUCCCCUAGUAGGACGUCGCGACCCGCUGGGUGUCGGCCUACGGCCCGGGUGCGCAGCCUGUCCUCCCGCGGACCUCGGUUCGCGUCUGUUGGGCAGAGCCCCGGUGUCCCGGCUGGCUGCUCGGCGGUACAUCUCGAGGAGUCGAUUCGCCCUGUUUGGGCGCCCGGGCUCCCGGCAAGCGCGCGCGGUUCUUCCCGGAUGACGGACCUACCUGGCCCGGCCCCGGACCCGCGCCGCUGUUGGCUCGGGAUGCUCUCGGGCGGAAUAAUCGCUCCCGUCAGCGGCGCUUCAGCUUUGGACAAUUUCACGACCCGUCUUGAAACACGGACCAAGGAGUCUAACAUGUGCGCGAGUCAUUGGGCUGUACGAAGCCUAAAGGCGCAAUGAAAGUGAAGGUCUCGCCUUGCGCGGGCCGAGGGAGGAUGGGGCUUCCCCGCCCUUCACGGGGCGGCGGCCUCCGCACUCCCGGGGCGUCUCGUCCUCAUUGCGAGGUGAGGCGCACCUAGAGCGUACACGUU
rnacentral:rRNA from 1 species